UUAAGAAGUUCGAUUACAGUCGAGGCUUGAAAUUGGUGGUCCGAUGUGAUAAGAACAUCACCAUUUAUGAAAAUCCAAAGAAAAUCAUUCUUCCGAGCGUCUAUGAUCUCAAACUUGAUGUGGUGAAGUCAUCAGUUACCCUUGAGGAUCUUUUAGAUGAUAUUCUAUGAACAAGUCGUCCUGCAACCCUAUCAUUGUUCUCAACUUCCAAAAGCAGUCUCUGCGAGCUAGUCUUUAAGAAACUAAUGGCACCAGAGAAGGAUCCUGGCUGCUGCACAUACAAUUCUACCAGUAACAAAUGCUAGCGUCACUUUCUGGAUAACAUCAAAACCGAGGACAUUGUCAAUGGCGAAAGUAUAUCUGAAUGGAUUGCUUGGUUGAGGUUAUA